GAUGAACGCUGGCGGCGUGCCUAAUACAUGCAAGUCGAGCGAACAGACGAGGAGCUUGCUCCUCUGACGUUAGCGGCGGACGGGUGAGUAACACGUGGAUAACCUACCUAUAAGACUGGGAUAACUUCGGGAAACCGGAGCUAAUACCGGAUAAUAUAUUGAACCGCAUGGUUCAAUAGUGAAAGACGGUUUUGCUGUCACUUAUAGAUGGAUCCGCGCCGCAUUAGCUAGUUGGUAAGGUAACGGCUUACCAAGGCAACGAUGCGUAGCCGACCUGAGAGGGUGAUCGGCCACACGUGAACUGAGACACGGUCCAGACUCCUACGGGAGGCAGCAGUAGGGAAUCUUCCGCAAUGGGCGAAAGCUUGACGGAGCAACGCCGCGUGAGUGAUGAAGGUCUUCGGAUCGUAAAACUCUGUUAUUAGGGAAGAACAAAUGUGUAAGUAACUAUGCACGUCUUGACGGUACCUAAUCAGAAAGCCACGGCUAACUACGU
rnacentral:rRNA from 1 species